ACAAACCAUGUUCUCUGUAGCUGUACUGCUGCUGCUCCUGGCUGCUGGCUCUGGUGUGAACUGUGAACAGCUUACUGAGCCCGAGACUCUGACUAUCCGAUCUGGUCAGUCUCUGACCAAUCCUUUGCAAUGAUUAAAGUGCCUUUAACAGAUGCUUAUUGACCCACAUUGUACUGUGUAAUUUGGUGGUGCGUGCCAUCACCAAUAGUGCAGAACAGUUUUUGCGCUUCCUCUCGAUUUCUGCUCUCUCUGUGUGUGUGUGUGUGUGUGUGUGUGUGUGUGUGUGUGUGUGUGUGUGUGUGUGUGUGUGUGGGGGUGUGUGUGUGUGUGUGUGUGUGUUAUUCUUGUGUGCCAGCCUUUUUGCCUCUUUAUCUCUUCAUCUCUUCUCUGUUAAAAAAUAUAUCAUGUCUACCUGAUGUUGGUGUGUGUGUGUGUGUGUGUGUGUGUGUGUGUGUGUGUGUGUGUGUGUGUGUGUGUGUGUGUGUGUUGUGUAAAUUUCAUCACGGCUCGAAAGAAGUUUAGGCCCUGCCCCUCCUGCCAAGAACCUAACCAGGUGAGGGAAAAGUGGAAUAGAGCAUUAGACCUAUGUCCAAUGUUCCAAUGUUCUAAAUGACUUUGUAUUAUAUCUGUACUGUGUUCCAAAAAAGGGAUAAUUUAAGAUGUCUGGAUUGAUAUACAUUUUGAUUGCUUGUUUUUCACCAAACGCCAUAGACAUCGUUGAUUAGAGUAGCCUGGGUGUCUCAUAGCUCUGCCACUUUCACUGUAUGAUUAUCAAUCCUUUGCCAUGAUCUGUUGUGUACUUACUUAAACUCUGGGUGCGUCAAUCCAGAGAUGCAUAUUCUGAAUUGCAUUGUGCUUCAUUUGUGCCUCUUUCCUGUAUACAGCCAAAUGAAACGCUGUAUCUUGAUUGUA